rnacentral:rRNA from 1 species
CGAAGGGAGCAAGCGUUGUUCGGAAUUACUGGGCGUAAAGCGCGCGUAGGCGGCCAUGCCAGUCAGAGGUGAAAGCCCGGAGCUUAACUCCGGAAUUGCCUUUGAAACUGCAUGGCUGGAGUACUGGAGGGGAUGGCGGAAUUUCUAAUGUAGCGGUGAAAUGCGUAGAUAUUAGAAGGAACACCGGCGGCGAAGGCGGCCAUCUGGACAGUUACUGACGCUGAGGCGCGAAAGCGUGGGGAUCAAACAGGAUUAGAUACCCUGGUAGUCCACGCCGUAAACGAUGGGUGCUAGCCGUUGGGAGGUUACCUUCCAGUGGCGUAGCUAACGCGUUAAGCACCCCGCCUGGGGAGUACGGUCGCAAGAUUA